AUGGUUCCCUGCUGGUUCUUUGUGACCAUGCUGGCCCCUAUGGCGCUGGCUCUGGAACAGUCCCCAGACACAGUGAUACGACAAGGCGAGUCCAUGAAUCUGAGCUGUUCCAAGAAGAAAUCCUCCAGCACAGCUAUGUACUGGUACAAGCUGCCUUUGGGGAAGGACUCCAGGCUGGUCCUAGUGGCUUCUGCAGUAGAAGGUGCUAAAGCAAAUGUUGAGGAGGAUCUCCAAAGCCGUUUCAAGAGCAGUGAGAUACAAGGAGAUGGGAUGACCCUCUUGAUAAAGCAUGCCUUUCUCAAUGACUCUGGCAUGUAUUACUGUGCUGAGAAUGAAACACAGUGGCUAGACUGCUGA